ensembl:lncRNA uncharacterized LOC114845926
GGCUCGGUGCAGGUUUUCCGGUUUUAAAAAAGACGCGUGUGGUGACAGAUGAGAAUGGUCCAGAAAAAUCAACGGUAUGAUUACUAAUUAUUAAUAAACACAUUUAAUCCAUGCUGAGGUGCAUUUAUAUUCAUUUGUGACUGUGUCCACAGGAGUCAGAGACAAAGACAGAUGACAACAAUGACCUUCCCAAACACGAUGAGGUGCCACAGAGACCAAAAUGGAUGCCACCAAAACAUCCAGGAUUUGGAAAUCCACUUAUGUCUGAAUUAAAGAACAAACUGAAGAAAACCACAACUGAGUAAAGAGUGAGAGAAGAUGUCGUGCCGAGCCUUUUGGGAAUAACAAAACAUACGUAUAUUGUUGUAUUUAUAUACUGGAACACAGCAGUGAGGUGUUUCCCUUGUCACCUCUUGCGUCGUUUACCUUUUGUAAUAAAGCUUAUUUCUGCAAAAAAGUGUUGUGUUUUUUUUCAUAAAGCAACUGUAGCUCAUCUUUUCAGCAGACUGUGAUUAUGGCCUUGUCAGUAACUAUAGUCAACACCACACGAAAUUACUGAGAAAGAAAUGGCUCAAAAACAUCAUUUUAGAUUAACCCUUGUUCGUAUAAGGUCAAAAAUAAAGCCUUAAGCUUAUUUUAAUUAAAAAUCAAUCAAAAAUAAUACAUUUAAAGGUUUGUUAUCAUAUUCUAAUUUAUUUUGUGUUUUAAAUCAAAACCGUAGGGGGCGGUAUAGUCCUUAAUUCAGUUCUGCAACUAACUUCCGCGAAGAAGACAGAGAUCGUUCUGAUUGGUUAAAACAUGUCCAAUAAAUUUGAAGGAGCUUUGCAACUUGUUUUGAAUGAGAGCGGUGUUACAGUGGUCUAAGUCAGUUUUUGAAGUAACCUGAAAACGUCACUUUUGAGAGGCUGAAGGGACGGAAUCUCAGCCCUGUGUCGAAAACAAGAUUGCUCAAUUUUUCAUGUAAAGUCGAAGCAGGCAUUGCACAGUAUGGCGAAUGUGGGGACACGGCAAACGUCCCGUUUUGUGGAGGAGUCCGAUGAAUGCCAGGAAAAUGUCGCACUAGAAGACACUGCUACAGCUGGAAGGCCCAACGUCCAAGGCAACCGCAGAGAAGUCGAAGCAAAAUCAAAAUUGUGUGGUCUCCAGUCAGCUUUAACGCCAAAUUUAAGAAUCUUAAAUAUAAGCAACAAAUCUCCAUCUGGGAAACCUGUGAAAUAUGGAAUGAGUCCUUGUUUGAACCGUCCCUGUUUUCCAUUAAAUCAGUCCAUAGCUUGUCAGAAACCAGCAACAAGUUCUGGCCUCUCAGAUUUGUCUCCCAGCCAUAUUGGAGGGUCGUUGGGAGACAGGAAUGCUUCUUUGUGCUGGUGGUAUAAUGAAACAAUGCCAGAAGUUUCUCUCCUUGAUGAUACGUGUGAUUCCACAAUGCAGUCUAGUUGGGCACCACCUAGUACAGACCCUAAUGCCAAUGUAGUUAACACUCCUGCUGGGGUAAAUGCUCCUCGAUGCUGGUUGGACGGCAGAUUCUCUCCAGACAUUACACUUCUUGAAGUUACACAGGAUUCAGAGCUUUCACCGGUAGGAAAUAUUUGCUCUGCUGAGACCACGCAAGGUAAUUACUCAAAAAUAAACACCCCUUCUGUAAAAGUUGGUGGAGAAAAUGUGAUGCAGCUCAGGGAACUGGACAUAAAUCGGAGCGAAGAAUUUUCUUUGUCUGCCAAUUCCACGGCCACCAUAACCUCACUGAGUCUACAACAGUCUACCGACGUGUGUGCAGGGGAAAAAGUAGUCAAAGUUUCCGCGGCUCAAGAUGUUUCUAUGGAAAGUGAGAACAGUAGGUCCUCAACAGGACUAAGUGAACAAGACGAGAUGAGUCAAACAUCAACCGAGGACAAGCUUGGCAUCCAUCCUGCUAAUGUUACUCGUGACAUUAGCUCAUCUGACGUGUCUGCUGCAUCACAGUUGUCUACUACAGAUAUGCAGGUCACCACCAGCUCAACAUUUGAACUUCAUGGGGAGCCUGCGGGUGCUGAAAAUGAAAAUCUACCUACAAGCUGCGAUACGGAGAUGACCAGCAAGGUACAGCAACGCAAGUCCGAGAUAGUGGAAUCUGACAGCAACACAUUUACAGUUUCCCAGUCAUCCAUAAAUGGCACCACUAAUGUAAACACAACUACUGACAUGGCCCAGUCGCUCAAUAACAGAGAUGCGGCUAAUGACACUCAAGAGCAGGAUAAUUUGGCUACUAAUAACGCUACUGAAAAUCCCCUCAAUAUUGAUCAAAAUAGCUCUGCUGAUAAGUCAGGCAGUUCAUGUGACGUGAAGAACGGCACAUUUGAUCAGCAUUCUGUUCAAACCUCCCGUGAGAGUAUUGGUUUACAAGAAACUGGCCUCCAGAACAACACUUUUGACAUGAAAUCAUCAUCUAAACGAAACACAAUGACUUUGUCAGAAAUUACAUUGGGUGAUGUACAUCAGGACACUCUGGACAAGUCCUCCCCGUCUAAAGUUUGUAGUACAACCACCAGCUCUAAAGACUGCAAUUCUGAAGUUCAUGCUACUGAACCAACAAAUGCUGAUUGGACAUCUAAGGUCAAGAAAGCUGACCUCCGAGAUAGAACAUUUGAAUCUAGUCUAGUUGUAAAGACAGCUUCUGAAGCUGAGCAUCCCGAGUCUAAUGAUCAACCAGAUCUGCCUUUGACAGACUGUCCUUCUGAUGGGCUGGGCCACCAUAGCAUAAGUAUGAAGAACAGCAAAGAAAACGAUUUCAACUUGGAUGACACCCUCGACAUAAGGAUGGAUUAUCUGGUCACGUCCACGCCAAUGGCUAACUGUAAGAUUAAUAGCUUAUGCAAUGAACAAGACAAUGGCCAAAUUGUCAGAGCACUGAAAAAAAAUGAUUUGUACUGUCCCAGUAAACAUGCUCUUCAGGUGCCAUCAGCCAUUCCAUCAAACAUUGUUUGUGAAAGAAAAACAUUCUUCAGGCAGCCAGCUGCUGCCUCCUCUUUGCCUCCCUUCAAAGCUGCAUCCCACUUGAAACCCAAACCAGCCUCUACAGAAGGCAGAGGACGUGGAUUGGCGCCAUCAGUGACAGGUCUGGCCAUGACACGAUCAAGAACCCUGGCUUUAAAGAAUACUUCUGCUCCUGAUCCAGCCCAGGGGGUCUCAGGAACCGCAAGGUCUUACAGCUUGCGUGCUGCAACAGCAGGAUCCAAGCACCCCCCUUCUGGCCUGCUAAGACCACAGACGACUGGUAUUCCCUCAUGCACCCUCAGCAGUCUGAGACCCCUGUUAACAAGAAGCACCAUACCUGCCUCCUCUACUAAUGACAAAAUCUGUGGUCCUACAGCCAGUAACCCACUGGUGAAGCAUCCCCAGACAAAGAAACACCAGUUGAACAGAUUGGAGUCUUUGCCGACAUCUAAGAGGAAGAAAAUGGACGCAGCAGUUGCGGUCAAGAUUGCUGAAGCCUCUGCCUCUUGUGACGCUGCCGGCAAAGCCAGAGUCCUGAAGCCGCCUGCAACAAUCCAUAGAGUUCUGCUGCCCAAACCCCCAGCUCAUGGAUGUGCAAAAUGCAUUGAGCAAGAAGAAGAAAUAAAGAAUCUAAAAGAAGGUCGUGCAAAAUUAGAAGAAGAAAUACAUAAACUUAAGGAAGGUAUGUCUCCAAAUGAUUUUAUUGCAAACUACAUGGAGAAUAUGUGCCAGUGUGUAGUGAGGGUCCUGUGUUUUAAUAGAUUUUUGUAUAUAUUGUUAUCCUUCAGUGCUGAGUAA